AAAAAGAACGAAAUUUAAAAAUUUCUAGCAACUGUAUUUUGACACUAGUCGUCAUUUAGGGAUUUAAAGAAUGCAUUGCAGCCUCUAAGUCCAAAAAACUAAGGCUUUCAAAAAUUUCAAAAUCUUGGCACCAAGAUCCAACUUUGCCAAGUCUCGCCACCAAACUUGGGUUGCUCGCCACCAAACAUGGGUUGCUUGAAUACUAACCAAGUUGAAAAUUUUCUUGCACCUAUAUUUUGAGACUAGUCGUUAUUUAGGGAUUAAAAGAGUGCAUUGUAGCCCAUAAGUCUAACAAAACCAAGUUGUUGAAAAUUUCUCAAAUCUUGACACCAAGCACCAAGUUUUCCAAGUUUUACCACCAAAAAUGACUUGUUUGAAAAACAACCAAAUUUCAAAAUUUCUUGCAACUGUAUUUUGACACUAGACGUCAUUAGGGAUUUAAAGAGUGCAUUGCAGCCUCUAAAUCCCAAAAACUAAGACUUUCAAAAAUUUCAAAAUCUUGGCACCAAGAUCCAACUUUUCCAAGUCUCGCCACCAAACAUGGGUUGCUUGAUACUAACCAAGUUGAAAAUUUUCUUGCACCUAUAUUUUGACACUAGUCGUCAUUUGGGGCUUAAGAGAGUGCAUUGAAGCCCAUAAGUCUAACAAAACCAAGUUGUUGAAAAUUUCUUAAAUCUUGAAUCCAAGCACAAACAUUGCCAAGUUUUACCCCCAAACAUGGCUUUUUUGAAAAACAACCAAAUUUAAAAAUUUCUAGCCACUGUAUUUUGACACUUGCCGUCAUUUAGGGAUUUAAAGAGUGCAUUGCAGCCUCUAAGUCCCAUAAACUAAGACUUUCAAAAAUUUCAAAAUCUUGGCACCAAGAUCUAACUUGGCCAACUCUCGCCACCAAACAUGGGUUGCUUGAAUACUAACCAAGUUGAAAAUUUUCUUGCACCUAUAUUUUGACACUAGUC
rnacentral:lncRNA from 1 species